rnacentral:snRNA from 1 species
AUCCUUCCGCAAGGGCAAUUCGUGUAUCUAUGAGGUCCCAUCCGAUGGUCACGAUAUUGCUGAUUGAAAACUUUCAGUCCGGUUACCCAGGAAGCGCCUAACGGCGCUUGCCUAAUAUUUGGGGGCGCUAAGCA